UAAACCCAAGACGAUGGUCUGGUGAGUCAGCAGAGCUGCUUCUCCUGACCCCUGUGGCCGUACCUCUAUCCAGGAGCCAGAGUUUCCAUCAGGGUCACAAGGGAACUGGAGUAAAUGGACACACCAGCUGAGGCUGGUCUCCAGAGGCUUGGAAUUGGGUGCCACAUCAAAGGUCAUGAAUGACAACGGCAUGUGUCCUCUUUCCAGGCCCAGAGGUGCUCAGUGGUGCCCACCACCUCGCUCACGACCGGCCAGCCUGCUCUGAAGGAAUGCGGAGCCAGGGGACAUGGGGAAAACCCGAGUUCAGAAGAAGCAGUGGACAGUCAGUCAUACCUGCCCUAGGGCAGAAGUUGGUACAGGGAUCACCGGGGCCUGAUGCAGAUGUUGGGGGGGGGGCAGAAGAAGCCCCCAGAAGCAGCGUGGUAGCCUCAUGCUUGUUUCCUGGCUGCGCACCCCGGGGUUGCUUGCUCUUGUACCAUUGCUGCUCCUGUCCCCUCAGCUGUGAUGAGAGGGGCUUGACCCUGACCGGCUCAUUCAUUCCUCUCAGACUGCCAGGGCCCAGAUGGCCAGGAGGGGCCUUGACAGUUCCCUGUCCUUGAGGACCUGCCCGCCUCACCACUUGGUGGGUAACUCCAGAUUAUUCACUAAGCAGCUCCAUGUGCCAGGAACCUGCCACCGACUUGGACCCGGAUGUUUCUGCCCUAGAAGAUAGGAAUUGUGCAUAGGAGCUCACACUCACCUCUCCCGUGACCUGAAUAGUUCUCCUCCACCUGCCCUUCCACCGUGACCUUCUCCCUCCCCUUGGGGCCCAGGGCAGCGGAACCAUCUGACCAUCGUCUGAACCUCUGAAAUGGAGCAGCGCCCCAAAUGAACUUCCCCUCAUCUACGUUGCUCAUGUCAGGUAUUUUGAUCACAGGAAUGGAAAGCUGGCUCACCGAUAUGAAUGUUGGAUAAGCGUCACUCAGGCACAGUUGUAGCACUCGUUGGCCAUGAGUUCUUAGUGAAGGAACCAGCAAUAUGUGUUAAAUAAGGUGUCUUCAAAGAGACAUACACGUAAAACACCCCACACACACAUUGCACAGUGCUGUCUGAUGAAACAUAUCGUGACCACGGUUUACGGCAUCCUCACCCUCUACUCCCCCUUAGGAGCAUGGACUCAGAGUUCUCUAGUUCAGUGGUUUGGGUUACUCGGCAGAGCCUAACGAUGGUCAACAAAAGAAACUGACUGAAAUCACCCCCACAAAGACCCUGUUUCAGGAUAAAGUCAUGCUUUGAAUUUCCAGGUGGUCAUUGAUUUCGAAAUGAUCUACGACUAUUCAACCUAGCCUAGACCCCAAACCUACGCUUUCUCUCUCUGAUACCAGUAGUUUUCCAAACUGGCCAGUCAUCCAAUCCUUCUUGAGGCCCUCAUUAAGAAUGUGGAAUUUUAGGUCCUUGGGCCUAAGGGUAGGCCCAGGAAUCUGCACUUUACAACAAAUGCCUGAACAAGCUUGGGGACUUGUGGAGACCACUUCCAUCUGGAUUUCACCGUCCUCUUCCCAGAAGAGAAGGAUCCAUAUACAAUCGGCUCCUCUGGGGACUCUUGGCUUUCAGCCUCAGCCCUUGCCAUCAGGGUGAAGAGAAAGAUUCAAAUGGCCCUUUGGAUCCAAACCCAGUCACAAAUGGGCAUAGACUUGAAUUUAGUCACAAGACUUUGAAGCUGGCCCUCCCCUCUCUGGGUCACUUAUGGCCUUGUUUCUGCUGCAGUGAGUUCCUCCAGGGGAAUCUUGGGUUUUGACUCUGGGAAAUGCAGCCAUAAGUAUUGCAAUUCUGCCUCGGGGACCCAGAGCCCCGGUUUCAACGGGGCCAGCCCCUCACCCUCUCUGAACUGGCAUUUAUUUCUGUCAUAAAGGCACAUUGAUACUCACUGCCUUAGAGGGUUGGACGAGGAUUAAAUUUUAAAAUGUGGUAAAAUCACUCUGGCACCAUAUUGAACUUGCAAUAAAUGUUAAGUAGUAGUAUAUUAAGUAUUUGGAACUUCAAAUUUCCAUGUUUUUCUCCACAGUACUUUGAUUUUUGAUCUCUUAUACCUGUUUUUAAAGAACCCUACAAAAUAAGCAAGAUGGUCCCUGCUUAUCUGGAUACCACCUAUCCCCCAAAUUCCAACUCUCUGGAUUAACUUCCUGGAAUUAGAAAAGAAUUUGUUAAAAACAUGGUAGAGAAGAUGGCUACUAGUUCACGAACAUUCUUCCCUGCUAAGAAAUUCUUGGCUCUGGCUUUAUUUUUUUUUAAAUUUUUUUUCCUUUACGGAAAUUAGAAAGAUUACUUUCUCUCUUUCUCUCUUUCUUUCUGGUGGCGCUGGGGAUUGAACCCAGGGCCUUGUGCAGGUGAGGCAAACACUCUACCAACUGAGCCACAUCCCCAGCUCGACUCCACUUCACACCCAAUUUUAACAGGAAUCAGUUUCAUAUUAAAAGUGGUUCGUUAGAGGUGAAUUGAUGUUAGGUGAAGUUCCUUGAUGACAGCAGCAAGAAGGGACAACUGACCGUGAGAGAGAACAGAUGCAGCUUCAGAAAGAAGACACAGUGGCUCAGGAAUUGGCCAUGGCCCCGUGGGGUAAGGGUGUCUGGCUUCACACUGGUUGGUGACCAUGAGGACUUCGCUAUAGUUAUUUUACUGAUGAUAAGUUUGGAGUAAUUUUGAGGAGAGGAGAAGUCUUCAGGCAGAUUUACCUGGGCUCGAGUCCCAUCCUUACCAGCCCUGGGAUCGUGGGCAGUCCACUGACCUCACUGGAGCUUCCGUUUCCCCAUUUCUGCAUAAUACAUCCCUGAGGCAGAUCUGGAGGACGGGAGACAACGAUG